UUGCCUACGGGAGGCAGCAGUGGGGAAUAUUGCACAAUGGGGGAAACCCUGAUGCAGCGACGCCGCGUGAGCGAAGAAGUAUUUCGGUAUGUAAAGCUCUAACAGCAGGGAAGAAAAAAAUGACGGUACCUGAGUAAGAAGCGCCGGCUAAAUACGUGCCAGCAGCCGCGGUAAUACGUAUGGUGCAAGCGUUAUCCGGAUUUACUGGGUGUAAAGGGAGCGUAGGCGGCGCGUUAAGUCUGAUGUGAAAGCCCGGGGCUCAACCCCGGGACUGCUUUGGAAACUGUAUUGCUGGAGUGCUGGAG
rnacentral:rRNA from 1 species